rnacentral:pre_miRNA from 1 species
GCCGGGAAGAGGAAGAAUGAGAGGGUCCAAGAGUAGUAUGAAUGGGAACAUUGAGGAAAACAAGAGCUUUCUAGAUUUCCUCUCCUAAGGAAAGCAGAGAUCUAGUUCUGUGUUUUUCCAAUGCCUCCCAUUCCUAUUGUUCUUGGGUGCUCCUUCCCCUUCAUUAGUGGC